rnacentral:rRNA from 1 species
UACGUAGGUGGCAAGCGUUGUCCGGAUUUACUGGGCGUAAAGAGCGCGCAGGCGGUCGGAUAAGUCGAAUGUGAAAGCCCCCGGCUCAACUGGGGAGGGUCAUUCGAUACUGUUCGACUCGAAGGCAGGAGAGGGAAGUGGAAUUCCCGGUGUAGUGGUGAAAUGCGUAGAUAUUGGGAAGAACACCGGUGGCGAAGGCGGCUCACUGGCUCGUAUCUGACGCUCAGGCGCGACAGCGUGGGGAUCAAACAGG